AAAGCAGUCAGUGAUGUACAGCGAUUAAUUAGAACAGUGAUGAUCUAUCUGUCUGAAAGUGUGGUGUGUGUUGACUCUCUCCCCACCUCCUUUCUCUGAGGGAGUGGGGAGGGGCUGUGCUUUCUCUGUGGAGAGGGUUGUUUAGAUCUACUGCAGAUCUAAACUUAGGUGAAUAUACAGGGAUGUAUUUUGAGAUGAACUUGUCCCAGCCAUCCCAGCUCAGACUGAGAAUAAGUCAAAGCUGCUUUUACUCUUUUUGACAGACUUUUUCACUGUGAUUUUUGAGCCACUUUCCAGCUCUGCUCAGCUGGACAGGAUCAAGAGAAUGGCAUCCAAGUAGCAGUGUUCUUCCCUAAAUCUGUAAGCUCUUUUCAGCAUUCCUGUUGUGCAGACUGCUGUUUUGUUCCAACACAGUAUAGUGUGGCAUGGUUGUGCUCAACUGGACUUCAGGGUACCUGCAUUUUCACAUCUUCCUGCAAGAAUGGAUUUGGAGCCCCAUUUUUGCUUGUGCCAACACAGCUAUACUGCCACAGCAUAUGUGAAAUAGCCUCAUCACGUAAACGCUUAACCCUGUUCAUUAUUCGUCUGGUGAAUGCUCCCAGUGCAAGCCAUUGACUGGACUCACAGGUAGGCUUGGUCCACCUUGCAACAUCCAGAAAUCCCUUCCUGAGUUAUGAGCAUGGAGGAGGGAUUCAGAGCUGCUGUUCCCCCAGCAGCUUCGGGGUGUGAAGUAGGACCAGAUGUGAGCUGUUGUGCACACACACAAAACCAGUUUUUCCCUAUCUGACCCUUGCAGCAGCAGAGGC
rnacentral:lncRNA from 1 species